UGGGGAAUAUUGCACAAUGGGGGAAACCCUGAUGCAGCGACGCCGCGUGAGCGAAGAAGGCUUUCGAGUCGUAAAGCUCUGUCCUAUGAGAAGAUAAUGACGGUAUCAUAGGAGGAAGCCCUGGCUAAAUACGUGCCAGCAGCCGCGGUAAUACGUAUGGGGCGAGCGUUGUCCGGAAUUAUUGGGCGUAAAGGGUACGUAGGCGGUUUUUUAAGUCAGGUGUCAAAGCGUGGAGCUUAACUGGGGGCGUGCGGUGGGUACGGGUUGACUUGAGUGCGGUAGGGGAGACUGGAAUUCCUGGUGUAGCGGUGGAAUGCGCAGAUAUCAGGAGGAACACCGGUGGCGAAGGCGGGUCUCUGGGCCGUUACUGACGCUGAGGAGCGAAAGCGUGGGGAGCGAACAGG
rnacentral:rRNA from 1 species